rnacentral:rRNA from 1 species
UACGUAGGGGGCAAGCGUUGUCCGGAAUUAUUGGGCGUAAAGAGCGCGUAGGCGGUCCGAUAAGUCGGCUGUGAAAGUCCAGGGCUCAACCCUGGAAAGCCGGCCGAUACUGUCGGACUAGAGUCCGGAAGAGGCAAGUGGAAUUCCCGGUGUAGCGGUGAAAUGCGCAGAUAUCGGGAGGAACACCAAUGGCGAAGGCAGCUUGCUGGGCCGUAACUGACGCUGAGGAGCGAAAGCGUGGGAGCGAACAGG